AGAGUUUGAUCAUGGCUCAGGACGAACGCUGGCGGCGUGCCUAAUACAUGCAAGUCGAGCGAGCAGAACCAGCAGAUUUACUUCGGUAAUGACGCUGGGGACGCGAGCGGCGGAUGGGUGAGUAACACGUGGGGAACCUGCCCCAUAGUCUGGGAUACCACUUGGAAACAGGUGCUAAUACCGGAUAAGAAAGCAGAUCGCAUGAUCAGCUUAUAAAAGGCGGCGUAAGCUGUCGCUAUGGGAUGGCCCCGCGGUGCAUUAGCUAGUUGGUAAGGCAACGGCUUACCAAGGCAAUGAUGCAUAGCCGAGUUGAGAGACUGAUCGGCCACAUUGGGACUGAGACACGGCCCAAACUCCUACGGGAGGCAGCAGUAGGGAAUCUUCCACAAUGAACGCAAGUCUGAUGGAGCAACGCCGCGUGAGUGAAGAAGGUUUUCGGAUCGUAAAGCUCUGUUGUUGGUGAAGAAGGAUAGAGGCAGUAACUGGCCUUUAUUUGACGGUAAUCAACCAGAAAGUCACGGCUAACUACGUGCCAGCAGCCGCGGUAAUACGUAGGUGGCAAGCGUUGUCCGGAUUUAUUGGGCGUAAAGCGAGCGCAGGCGGAAGAAUAAGUCUGAUGUGAAAGCCCUCGGCUUAACCGAGGAACUGCAUCGGAAACUGUUUUUCUUGAGUGCAGAAGAGGAGAGUGGAACUCCAUGUGUAGCGGUGGAAUGCGUAGAUAUAUGGAAGAACACCAGUGGCGAAGGCGACUCUCUGGUCUGCAACUGACGCUGAGGCUCGAAAGCAUGGGUAGCGAACAGGAUUAGAUACCCUGGUAGUCC
rnacentral:rRNA from 1 species